UAAAUAUCAUCAUGAGAGUUCAGCCAGGUAUGACUCUAUCACUCUGACUUUGCGUAUGUUCUUUUGACACUUCACAGCAUGACAACACCCGCUGAGGCAAGUUGUUUGUUUAGCCCAGAGCCUUUCUAGCCAUCCCUAUUUGUAUAUUUACCCUUCGUGAACACGUUGAGCCUUAGCCUUUUUGUUCGUAGUAAACCCCAUAUUAACCAUUAAUCAUUCAUUUCUUCCAUUAAUCGACAUGAUUGUUGUAAGUUACAAAAUGUGCAAAAAAAGCUAAGUUUGAGGUGGUAAUCUUUAAAGAAAGGGCGAGUGCAUAAGAAGAGAUCUAAAAGUAAUGCAAAAAGAAGAGACGUGUGUAUGUCCUAAUAAAAAAAAAGAGAAAGAAAAAAAAAAGAGAAAUGCACUUCCGAGACUUAAGACUCUAACACCUGUAAAAUGCUCACAUAGAAUGAAUUAAAAAGAGUCAAAAGUGAAUAAACCCCCAGAGUUAUGAGUUAAGCACGAAAAAAAAAGAGAAAAUCAAACAACAUGAUUGCCGAGUUCAAAACCAUUUGUUAUCCAUUUCUGUGUCUAUACUACCGUACCCAAGCCCCGUUACAACUGAAAAGACCUCAUAAAGUGUGUGGAAUCUGUUGUUGUAGUGAAAUUAGAAUUUAUUCAAAUUUAAGAGUUUGGUAUUGCAUGCUGUGUUGUGAGUGUAAACACCCUAACCAUGAGAGAUGUUGUGAGUAUGUGAAAAAGCUUGUAGGUAACGAGGCAUCUGAUGUGGAAAUAUGGUGAACAGUUUGAGUCGGGAAAACCGGAAAAUUGAUUGGAAAGGAAGAACACAAGUUGUGAAGGACAAGGUUGCAUUGUGGAAAGUGAAUUCGUGGGUGACCUUUGUUUGGACUCAAUACAUCACUUGAGGACAAGCAAUUAGAAAAGUUUGGGGUUGUGAUCGGUCACCAUUUCCAUUGAAUUCCCACCUUUUAUCCGGCAUACUUUCAUCACUUUGGUAAGAUUU
rnacentral:lncRNA from 1 species